UGGGGAAUAUUGCGCAAUGGGCGAAAGCCUGACGCAGCGACGCCGCGUGAGGGAUGAAGGUUUUCGGAUCGUAAACCUCUGUCAGAAGGGAAGAAUAGGAUAUUGGCUAAUCACAGUAUCUGUGACGGUACCUUCAAAGGAAGCACCGGCUAACUCCGUGCCAGCAGCCGCGGUAAUACGGAGGGUGCAAGCGUUAAUCGGAAUCACUGGGCGUAAAGCGCGUGUAGGCUGUGAGGCAAGUUGGUGGUGAAAUCCCUACGGCUCAACCGAGGAACUGCCAUCAAAACUACUUGACUAGAGUGCGAGAGAGGACAGCGGAAUUCCAGGUGUAGGAGUGAAAUCCGUAGAUAUCUGGAAGAACAUCAGUGGCGAAGGCGGCUGUCUGGCUCGUAACUGACGC
rnacentral:rRNA from 1 species